CUCAAAUGAAUUGACGGGGCCCGCACAAGCGGAGGAACAUGUGGUUUAAUUCGAUGAUACGCGAGGAACCUUACCUGGGCUUAAAUGUAGACUGCAUUCCGCCGAAAGGUGGAUUUCCUUCGGGACUCUUUACAAGGUGCUGCAUGGUUGUCGUCAGCUCGUGCCGUGAGGUGUCGGGUUAAGUCCCAUAACGAGCGCAACCCUUAUCGUUAGUUGCCAGCGGGUAAUGCCGGGAACUCUAACGAAACUGCCGGUGUAAACCGUGAGGAAGGUGGGAUGACGUCAAAUCAGCACGGCCCUUAUGUCCAGGGCUACACACGUGUUACAAUGGCCGGUACAGAGGGCAGCUACCUGGAGACAGGAUGCGAAUCUCGAAAGCCGGUCUCAGUUCGGAUCGGAGUCUGCAACUCGACUCCGUGAAGCUGGAUUCGCUAGUAAUCGCGCAUCAGCCAUGGCGCGGUGAAUACGUUCCCGGGGCUU
rnacentral:rRNA from 1 species